GGAUGUAAGGGUGUUCUGGCUGUGACAUCUGUCACCUCAUUGAACUCCAGGGUUGAUUUGACUGACAUGGCUAGCUAGGCAGGUGUCCCCUUCCUCGCUCACUACUCCAUGUGUGCCCCCUUGAAGUGGCAGCUAGGCGGAAGAGGACGUUACCCCUUCAGAGGAGGACUGCUCUUCCAUCAAGUGUAUGUAAGGAGCUGGGUGUGCUCCCCUGCUAGACCCUCCAAACUACAGCAUGGGUGAUGGGACUCCUGCCCAGCAAAGGGAACAACAUGCAUAGAAGCCCAAAGGGCUUGAUCU
ensembl:misc_RNA 7SK 7SK RNA